rnacentral:rRNA from 1 species
UACAGAGGGUGCAAGCGUUGCUCGGAAUCAUUGGGCGUAAAGGGCAGGUAGGUGGUCUGAUUUGUCUGGAGGUGAAAGCCUUGGGCUUAACCCAAGAAGUGCCCCGGAAACGGUCAGACUUUGAGUCUUGGAGAGGGUUGCGGAAUUCCCGGUGUAGCGGUGAAAUGCGUAGAGAUGUGGAGGAACACCAGUGGCGAAGGCGACUCUUUGGCCUAUAACUGACGCUGAGGCGCGAAAGCGUGGGGAGCGAACCGG